CUCCAGGCCGGCCGGGAGGAAACUUUGCAGCAAGAUGCGAACCCUGGAACAACGGAAUCGCUUUUCCACACGCACCGUUAAACGCUUUUAUUCAGUCAAACGCAGCCUUUGUUCGUCCUGCUGGCAUCUUCAAACAACCAUUACAUGCUGC